AGCUAGUGCAAACGGAAUACUGA
rnacentral:siRNA from 1 species